CCCUUAGAUGUCCUGGGCCGCACGCGCGCUACACUGACAUGUUCAACAAGCCUCCUAGUUCGACAGGAUUUGGGAAAUCUUUGAACGCAUGUCGUGAUAGGGAUAGAUCAUUGCAAUUAUUGAUCUUGAACGAGGAAUUCCUAGUAAACGCGAGUCAUCAGCUCGCAUUGAUUACGUCCCUGCCCUUUGUACACACCGCCCGUCGCACCUACCGAUUGAAUGUUUCGGUGAAGAUUCCGGAUAGGACUUUUUUGAUUUAUUUCAUUUUUGUCUUAAAAGCUAUCUAAACCUCAACAUUUAGAGGAAGGUGAAGUCGUAACA
rnacentral:rRNA from 1 species